rnacentral:rRNA from 1 species
UACGUAGGCAGCGAGCGUUGUUCGGAGUUACUGGGCGUAAAGGGCUCGUAGGCGGCCAACUAAGUCAGACGUGAAAUCCCUCAGCUUAACUGGGGAACUGCGUCUGAUACUGGAUGGCUUGGAUUCGGGAGAGGGAUGCAGAAUUCCAGGUGUAGCGGUGAAAUGCGUAGAUAUCUGGAGGAAUACCGGUGGCGAAGGCGGCAUCCUGGACCGGCAUUGACGCUGAUGAGCGAAAGCUAGGGGAGCAAACGGGG